AACAAACCCCGCCUAACCCCCUUUGGGUCUGAGUUGUAUUUGUAGAAGGUGCUUCGGAUUUGAUGGUGGUACAAGUCCUUUGGAAAGGGCGUCAUAGAGGGUGUCAACCCCGUAUUGGCCAAUAAUGGGUCCAUGUGAAGCCCUUUCGACGAGUCGAGUUGUUUGGGAAUGCAGCUUAAAAUGGGUGGUAGACUUCAUCUAAAGAAAGAAGUCAGCCAGAGACCGAUAGCGCACAAGUACAGUGUUUGAAAGAUGAAUAGCACUUUUAAAGGAGAGCGUUUCUGCACUU
rnacentral:rRNA from 1 species